CCUACGGGGGGCAGCAGUAGGGAAUCUUCGGCAAUGGACGAAAGUCUGACCGAGCAACGCCGCGUGAGUGAAGAAGGUUUUCGGAUCGUAAAACUCUGUUGGUAGAGAAGAACGUUGGUGAGAGUGGAAAGCUCAUCAAGUGACGGUAACUACCCAGAAAGGGACGGCUAACUACGUGCCAGCAGCCGCGGUAAUACGUAGGUCCCGAGCGUUGUCCGGAUUUAUUGGGCGUAAAGCGAGCGCAGGUGGUUUAUAAAGCCUGGUGUAAAGGGCAUUGGCACAACAAUGGAUUGCAUUGGAAACUGUUAGACUUAGGUGAGGGAGAGGGGAGUGAAAUUCCAUUUGUAGCGGUGAAAUGCGUAGAUAUAUGGAGGAACACCGGUGGCGAAAGCGGCUCUCGGGCCUGUAACGGACACUGAGGCCCGAAAGCGUGGGGAGCAACCAGGAUAGAUACCCCUGUAGUC
rnacentral:rRNA from 1 species